rnacentral:rRNA from 1 species
CCUACGGGAGGCAGCAGUGGGGAAUAUUGCACAAUGGGGGAAACCCUGAUGCAGCGACGCCGCGUGAAGGAAGAAGUAUUUCGGUAUUUAAACUUCUAUCAGCAGGGAAGAAAAUGACGGUACCUGACUAAGAAGCCCCGUCUCACUACGUGCCAGCAGCCGCGGGAAUACGUAGGGGGCAAGCGUUAUACGGAUUUACUGGGUGUAAAGGGAGCGUAGGCGGUUGAGCAAGUCAGAAGUGAAAGUCCGGGGCUCAACGCCGAGACUGCUUUUGAAACUGUUGAACUAGAUUGCAGGAGAGGUAAGCGGAAUUCCUGGUGUAGCGGUGAAAUGCGUAGAUAUUA